GCCAGUGUGGCAUAGUGGUUUGAAUGUUGGACUACAACUCUAUAGAGACCUGGGUUCUAAUCCCAGCUCAGCCA